rnacentral:rRNA from 1 species
UACGUAGGGGGCUAGCGUUGUCCGGAUUUAUUGGGCGUAAAGAGCGUGUAGGCGGCCAGAUAGGUCUGCUGUGAAACUCGAGGCUCAACCUCGAGAUGUCGGCGGAAACCAUUGGCUAGAGUCCGGAAGAGGAAAGUGGAAUUCCUGGUGUAGCGGUGAAAUGCGCAGAUAUCGGGAAGAACACCCGUGGCGAAGGCGGCUCUCUGGGCG